rnacentral:rRNA from 1 species
AAUGAACGUUAGCGGCGCGCCUGAUGCAUGCAAGUCGAACGGUCUAUUGUUUCGCAAGAGACACUAGAUAGUGGCGAACGGCUGAGUAACGCGUAAGUUACCUACCUCUAAGUGGGGAAUAACCUGUCGAAAGGCAGGUUAAUACCGCAUGUGCUAACCUGUGAAAACUUGUUAGUAAAGCUUUCGGGUGCUUGGAGACGGGCUUGCGUCUGAUUAGCUAGUUGGUGGGGUAAUGGCUCACCAAGGCGAUGAUCAGUAGCUGGUCUGAGAGGACGACCAGCCAGACAGGGACUGAGACACGGCCCUGACUCCUACGGGAGGCAGCAGCAAGGAAUUUUGCGCAAUGGGCGAAAGCCUGACGCAGCGACACCGCGUGAGGGAUGAAGGCCUUCGGGUUGUAAACCUCUUUUCUUAAGGAAGAAUUAUGACGGAACUUAGGGAAUAAGUCUUGGCUAACUACGUGCCAGCAGCCGCAGUAACAC